rnacentral:rRNA from 1 species
UACGGAGGAUGCAAGCGUUAUCCGGAUUUAUUGGGUUUAAAGGGUGCGUAGGCGGAUAUGUAAGUCAGCGGUGAAACUCACAGGCUCAACCUGUGCCGUGCCGUUGAAACUGUGUAUCUGGAAUGCGGAUGCUGUGGGAGGAAUGUGUAGUGUAGCGGUGAAAUGCAUAGAUAUUACGCAGAACACCGAUUGCGAAGGCAUCUCACAAAGCCGUUAUUGACGCUGAGGCACGAAAGUGUGGGGAUCAAACA